CUAACACAUGCAAGUCGAGCGGAUGUAGAGGAGCUUGCUCCUGGAUUCAGCGGCGGACGGGUGAGUAAUGCCUAGGAAUCUGCCUGGUAGUGGGGGACAACGUUUCGAAAGGAACGCUAAUACCGCAUACGUCCUACGGGAGAAAGCAGGGGACCUUCGGGCCUUGCGCUAUCAGAUGAGCCUAGGUCGGAUUAGCUAGUUGGUGAGGUAAUGGCUCACCAAGGCGACGAUCCGUAACUGGUCUGAGAGGAUGAUCAGUCACACUGGAACUGAGACACGGUCCAGACUCCUACGGGAGGCAGCAGUGGGGAAUAUUGGACAAUGGGCGAAAGCCUGAUCCAGUCUCUUGCCGCGUGUGUGAAGAAGGUCUUCGGAUUGUAAAGCACUUUAAGUUGGGAGGAAGGGCAUGUAAACUUAACUACGUUGCUGUUUUGACGUUACCGACCCGAAUAAGCAACCGGCUAACUCUGU
rnacentral:rRNA from 1 species